GAACCCAGGAGGCAGAGGUUGCAGUGAGCCGAGAUCAUGCCACUGCACUCCAGCCUGGGUGACAGAGCAAGAUUCCAUCUCAAAAACAAAAACAACCAAAACAACAACAACAACAACAAAAACUGUGUGUGCAAAGGCCCUGAGGCAGGAAUGAACCUAACAUGAUCAAAAACCUGGCUCAGAACAUGGACCCAGUGAACCACUUUGGACACUUGAUGGGCAUUUGAUGGGUUGCCUCCGUGUGAUCUCUAAUUCUUGAUGACUAGGCUGAAGUGGGAGCUGGACUCAUAGGUGUGUAGACGGGGGUCUGUAGUCCCAUGUGGCUAUUCAUUCUCACCGAGGCAGCAUUUCUGGUGAAGUUAUAGCUGGAUGGUAUUUCAUGGUCAACUUUAGUUUUAAUGGGAGGUAUGUGAGGAAGCAAUAUAGUAUAAUGGCUAGAAUCAGAAGAUCUUGAUUGAGAUCAUAGCUCUUCUUACUGGUUUUCUGACCAUGGACAAAUAGUUUACAUACCUUAUACCUCAGUUUUCCCUUGGAAGUAAUGAUAAAACUAUCUGUCUCACGGGGCAAAAAACAAAUCACUGAAUGGCUAAAUCACCAAACAAUUCACCAAACUUAGCAAUUUACCAAAGCCUUGCAUUAAACCAGUUUUUAGAUAUUUUAAAUGAAUAUGAAUAUUCUUCAAAAUAUACGUACUUAUUAUGUAUUUGAUAUACAUUAAGAAUAUUUAGAAAUGUAAAGCAUGUUUGUAGCUCAUUAAUAUAUUCUUCAUGAAUAUUACAGUUUAAUAAAGGGAGUGUUAGAAAAUAAUCUCUAUAUGCUUAAAUUAUUUUUUAGCAAUAAUCAUAACAAAAUUAAUAACAAAAAUAGAAAAUAAAUGCAAACACUGGAAAUUUCCUUAUAUUGAAUCUUUACAUAAUCUUGUCAAUAAAAUGAAUAAAAAUAAGUUAUCAUGCAAAAAAAGGGAAAAAACUCAAUCCAG
rnacentral:lncRNA from 10 species